rnacentral:rRNA from 1 species
UAGGCUGCAACUCGCCUACAUGAAGUUGGAAUCGCUAGUAAUCGCGAAUCAGAAUGUCGCGGUGAAUACGUUCCCGGGUCUUGUACACACCGCCCGUCACACCACGAGAGUUUGUAACACCCAAAGCCGGUGGGGUAACCUUUUGGAGCCAGCCGUCUAAGGUGGGACAGAUGAUUGGGGUGAAGUCGUAACAAGGUAGC